rnacentral:ribozyme from 1 species
GCCCUGGCAGGGGCCGGACUGGCGCUGUCUUGGAAGUCACUCUGGGCCAGUGCUCGAGUGCAAUGCGCGCUCUCUCAGCGGAGCUUAAGCAGAUGCAG